rnacentral:lncRNA from 1 species
CCGGAAGUGGGUACGACCGGCCCGCAGCUUUCUGGGACUUGUAGUUGGGGGCCCUUAGGCGCGGACGCGGGUCAGUCUCGGGAAUACUGCGCUUGCAGGUGUAGGAUUCCACGUGGGAGGACGGUGACCUUCCAGAGAGGAGGAAAUGACCUAGUGCCGGGUAGCAGAAGGGUGAGGAUUCCCUGCAUCGCCGAGCGCGCUGCGGCCUCAGAACAGGAGGGCCAACGCCAUCGCGGCCUUUUUGAAAACCAUCAGGCUCCGGUAAGCGUACAAAGAUCUGGUCCGGAUCCGCCUGCCCGGCCACUCCCGCGGGCACGGAUCCGAGGCCCACGCCCCGCCCUUCCGCAGCCGCCGCUCCCCAACUGCGCUCCAGC